GACGAACGCUGGCGGCGUGCUUAACACAUGCAAGUCGAACGGAAAGGCCCUGCCUUUGUGGGGUGCUCGAGUGGCGAACGGGUGAGUAACACGUGAGUAACCUGCCCUUGACUUUGGGAUAACUUCAGGAAACUGGGGCUAAUACCGGAUAGGAGCUCCUGCCGCAUGGUGGGGGUUGGAAAGUUUCGGCGGUUGGGGAUGGACUCGCGGCUUAUCAGCUUGUUGGUGGGGUAGUGGCUUACCAAGGCGUUGACGGGUAGCCGGCCUGAGAGGGUGACCGGCCACAUUGGGACUGAGAUACGGCCCAGACUCCUACGGGAGGCAGCAGUGGGGAAUAUUGCACAAUGGGCGGAAGCCUGAUGCAGCAACGCCGCGUGCGGGAUGACGGCCUUCGGGUUGUAAACCGCUUUCGCCUGUGACGAAGCGUGAGUGACGGUAAUGGGUAAAGAAGCACCGGCUAACUACGUG
rnacentral:rRNA from 1 species